UACGGGGGGGGCAAGCGUUGUUCGGAAUUACUGGGCGUAAAGGGUUCGUAGGUGGCCAACUAAGUCAGACGUGAAAUCCCUCAGCUUAACUGGGGAACUGCGUCUGAGACUGGAUGGCUUGAGUGCAGGAGAGGAACGCGGAAUUCCAGGUGUAGCGGUGAAAUGCGUAGAGAUCAGAAGGAACAUCCGUGGCGAAGGCGGCAUCCUGGGCCAACACUGACACUGAGGCACGAAAGCGUGGGGAGCAAACAGG
rnacentral:rRNA from 1 species